AGAGUUUGAUCCUGGCUCAGAAAUAAACGCUGGUGGCGUGCUUUAUACAUGCAAGUCGAGCGGAGAUCAGCUUGAAGCAGAAGGUGAUUAAUUCACACUUUGUGUGAGUUAUGAACUUUCUGUGACGGUUGAUCUUAGCGGCGAACGGGUGAGUAACGCGUGGAUAAUCCGCCCUUGAGACUGGGAUAACAUCUCGAAAGAGGCGCUAAUACCGGAUGAAGUUACAGAAAGCAAUUUCGGUAACCAAAGUUGGAUUUUCAAAGUUCUUCGCUCAAGGAUGAGUCCGCGUCCUAUUAGCUAGUUGGUGAGGUAAAGGCUCACCAAGGCAAUGAUGGGUAGCCGGCCUGAGAGGGCGUACGGCCACACUGGGACUGAGACACGGCCCAGACUCCUACGGGAGGCAGCAGUAGGGAAUCUUCCGCAAUGGGCGAAAGCCUGACGGAGCGACGCCACGUGGAUGACGAAGGCCUUCGGGUCGUAAAAUCCUGUCAGGGGGGACGAUGGUCGAUCUUCGGAUUGACUGACGGUACCCUCAGAGGAAGCUCCGGCCAACUACGUGCCAGCAGCCGCGGUAAUACGUAGGGAGCAAGCGUUGUUCGGAUUUACUGGGCGUAAAGAGUGCGUAGGCGGUUAUAUAAGUCAAAGGUGAAAUCUCCACUUUCAAGGUGGAAACUGCCUUUGAUACUGUAUGACUAGAGGGCAAGAGGGGGAAAUGGAACUCUGGGAGUAGCGGUGAAAUGCGUAGAUAUCCAGAGGAACGCCGGUAGCGAAGGCGAUUUCCUGGCUUGCAUCUGACGCUGAGGCACUAAAGCUAGGGUAGCGAUCGGGAUUAGAGACCCCGGUAGUCCUAGCCCUAAACGAUGGGUACUAAGUGUGGGGGGAGCAUUACCCUCCGUGCUGAAGUUGACACGUUAAGUACCCCGCCUGGGGAGUACGGUCGCAAGACUGAAACUCAAAGGAAUUGACGG
rnacentral:rRNA from 1 species